rfam:TPA: Bos taurus chromosome 9, whole genome shotgun sequence.
UCCCUGGUGGUGCAGUGGUUAAGAAUCUGCACUCCCAAUGCUGGGGGCCCGGGGUUCGAUCCCUGGUCAGGGAA